rnacentral:pre_miRNA from 1 species
GCAUUAAUCACUUGGGGGUCCUAUUAACAAGCAGAUUCUGAUCAGUAGUUCAUGGGUGGGGCCUAAGAUUCUGCAUUUCUAACAAGGUACCAGCUGCCAAU